GAUGAACGCUAGCGGGAGGCCUAAUACAUGCAAGUCGAGCGGUAACUUUCUUCGGGAAGCUAGAGCGGCGCACGGGUGAGUAACGCGUACAUGACCUGCCUUUAAGACCGGGAUAGCCCUGGGAAACUGGGAUUAAUACCGGAUGUGAUAAUAGAUAUAAAAGAUUUAUUAUUAAAGUUACGGCGCUUAGAGAUGGAUGUGCGUCUGAUUAGCUAGUUGGUAGGGUAACGGCCUACCAAGGCUACGAUCAGUAGGGGCGUGAGAGCGUGGCCCCCCACACGGGUACUGAGACACGGACCCGACUCCUACGGGAGGCAGCAGUAAGGAAUAUUGGUCAAUGGACGAAAGUCUGAACCAGCCAUCCCGCGUGCAGGAUGAAGGUCCUAUGGAUUGUAAACUGCUUUUAGCAGAGAAGAAAAGCAAUCCUUUUAAGGGUGUCUGACGGUAUCUGCGGAAUAAGCACCGGCUAACUCCGUGCCAGCAG
rnacentral:rRNA from 1 species